GAUGAAGAACGUAGCGAAAUGCGAUAAGUAAUGUGAAUUGCAGAAUUCAGUGAAUCAUCGAAUCUUUGAACGCACAUUGCGCCCCCUGGUAUUCCGGGGGGCAUGCCUGUUCGAGCGUCAUUACAACCCUCAAGCUCUGCUUGGAAUUGGGCCCCGCCAGUUCUGGCGGGCCCUAAAGUCAGUGGCGGUGCCUUCCGGCUCCGAGCGUAGUAAUUCUUCUCGCUCUGGAGACCCGGUUGUGUGCUUGCCAACAACCCCCAAUUUUUUAAGGUUGACCUCGGAUCAGGUAGGGAUACCCGCUGAACUUAAGCAUAUCAAUAAGCGGAGGA
rnacentral:misc_RNA from 1 species